UACGUAGGGGGCUAGCGUUGUCCGGAAUCAUUGGGCGUAAAGCGCGUGUAGGCGGUCCGGUAAGUCCGCUGUGAAAGUCGAGGGCUCAACCCUCGAAUGCCGGUGGAAACUGUCGGGCUAGAGUGCGGAAGAGGCGAGUGGAAUUCCUGGUGUAGCGGUGAAAUGCGUAGAUAUCAGGAGGAACACCUGUGGCGAAAGCGGCUCACUGGACCACAACUGACGCUGAUGCGCGAAAGCUAGGGGAGCAAACAGG
rnacentral:rRNA from 1 species